GACGAACCCUGGCGGCGUGCUUAACACAUGCAAGUCGAACGGAGCUAUUUAUUUCGGUAGAUAGCUUAGUGGCAAACGGUGAGUAACGCGUAGCAACCUGCCCUUAGGAUGGGGACAACGGCCCGAAAGGACCGCUAAUACCGAAUGGACUCUAACUUUCGCAUGAAAGAAAGAGGAAAGAUGGUGCAAGCCAUCGCCGAAGGAAGGGCCUGCGUCUGAUUAGCCAGUUGGUGAGGUAACGGCUCACCAAAGCAACGAUCAGUAGCCGGUCUGAGAGGAUGAACGGCCACAAUGGGACUGAGACACGGCCCAUACUCCUACGGGAGGCAGCAGUGGGGAAUCUUCCGCAAUGGGCGCAAGCCCUGACGGGAGCA
rnacentral:rRNA from 1 species